GUGUUUCGUCGUCGUCGUUGUUUUAAUUUGUUUCUUCUACGGUUUUCGUUUUGUACGUUUUCUUAUUUAUUGUUUUAUUUCCAUAAUUAAUUAAUAAUCUAGAGAAAAUUUCAACAAAAAAAUAUAUUAUAAAUUUUAAUUAAAUAGAAAUAAAUUCGUGAUAAAUUAAAAAUAAAGAAAUUAAAACGUAUUAUAUAUGUGACAAGUGUUUGGAAAGAAAGAAGUGAAUAAUCUUAAGCAGUUAAAAAUAAAUGGUUUUUAAAAUAAAAAUACCUACCUAUAUUGUAUAUUAAUUACAAAAUUUCUUUGGAUGAUUCAAAAAGUAUAUGAAUAGAAGAAAAAAACCUCGGUGAAAACAAUCAGUAGAUCGCAUUCAGCUACUAAUACCAUAACAACAAAAAAACAGAAAAAAAUAAAACAUCAAAAAUAGUAACAUCAAGGUAAAUUUUAACCAACGAGAGGGAGCAAAACAACCAACCAACAACAACUCACGUAAAUAAACACUCAUACAUACUCAAAACAGCAACAACAAACACAUUUACAAUGUGGAGCCCAACACAUAUUAAAGUGACAAUAAAUUCUGCCCGAAAUCUAUUAUGCAAAGGCAAAAACAAUACCAACAAUUGCUUUGUAACGAUUGCCCUGGGCAAAGAGAAAUAUCAGACGUCGGUUAAGGAAAAGGCUGAAUCAAAAGUGGAAUGGAAAGAAGAAUGUGAACUUAAAAUUCCCGAUCAAGGCAAUCGUGCUGAACUUGUACUCACCUGUUUGCAUCGCAACAAUUUGGGUAUAGAUGAAUUUCUGGGACAAGUCACUCUGCCGCUUAAUGAAAUGGACGCCUAUGUACGCUCCAAGGCAAAAUGGUAUAAACUGGAAAGUAAACCGGGCAAAGAGAAAAAGAAUAAAGAACGUGGUGAACUAGAAGUGGAGAUAUCAUUCACUGUCAAAUCUGGUUCACUAACCGAUUUGAGUAAAAAAGAAAAACACAAGUCUUCCAUAGGACAGUUGGCUUCAUCGGUGGGUGGAAGUUUAUUGUCGAUUAGUACCAUUGAAAAGCGUAAGGGUAUUAAGAAAAUUGCCAAAAAAUUCGGGUCCAAACUGCAUCUGAGCGGUAGUGGUAAGAAAAAGAAUAAAGAUGAUGAUGACAUGUCAUACACGGGCUCCUUUGCUAGUAUUGGCACACCGAAUCGUGUCAGAGUGCCGGAUAGCGAUGAUGAGGAUGAGUUUCAAUUCGAUAAGUUGUCACAAAAGAGUUCGGUUAGUUCUCUAAAUAUACGUGAUGGUUUACAGCCUCCUUCCCAAAACUAUACGCCAAGAAAUCCUUCACCCCUGAUGGGUUCCACCGGUAAAGGUCAAAUAGGUAAGGAUCAUCACUACAGAUAUGAUGGAUCAGACAAUCUCAGUGUGGAUCCGGAAUUGGAAGAAAUUGAAAAUGAAUUUAGCAUAAGAGCGCGUACUUUACCACCUCCUUCGAAACCUCCACGCACACCUCAAAUGGAUGGAGGCGAAAGCAAAACAAAUGGCAAAAGCAACUCAGAAUUGGAUGAAUGGGAAUCUAAAUUAUAUGGACGUAGUGCUGAGUCUGGUAAUUCUGAUUCGUUAAAGCGCAGAUCCUGGGAGCCAGUGGCAGUGCCUUUAAAAACUACCAAUUAUGAAGAAGAAACAGAAAAAGAGUUACCCCUCACAGAACUAGAGCCUAUGAGUAAAUCUCUAUUACCCACUUUACAAGAAUCACAAACUCUCGAAUCAUUCUCUGACAGUUCCAGCAGCAGUGAUGAAGAAGUUGAGGCAGAAAAACCAAAACAAGUUAUAGCUCCUUUGAGACCAACAAGUGAGGAUAAAACCAAGGUAAUAACUUCCUCUCCAAUAAAACCCACUGAUCUCAAACUAUUGUCUCCAAGUGAAAAUGGUGAAAUGGUUAAAAAAGAUUCCCUACUCUCACCAGAUGUAGAUAAGAAUGAAUUUGCCAAAUUCAAUGCUUCCUUUGCUAAAUUUGAACAGAGAAACAGUUCAAAAUUCUUUGAUAUUGGUGAAGAAACAAAUAAUUUUCUUAAAAAUGAAUCUCUUACAUCUGGUGUCAACCAACCACAGCCCAAACCCAGAGCAAGAAUUUCACCUAUAGUGGAAAAGGAGGAUAAUAGCAAAAAAACUUUAGAGGAAGAAGAAAAACGCAAACGUGAGGCUGAAGAUGCACGUUUAGAAGCUGAAUUAAAAGAAAAUGAAAGACGUCUUAAGGAAGAGGAAGAAGCUUUACAGAAAGAAUUACGUGAGAAAGAAGAAGAGGAAAAGAGACGAGAAGCCAAACGUCGUGAAGAAGAUUUUAGAAUUUUAAAUUUCUCCAAACGUCUAGUGUCACAAGAAGAUAAAACCGAAGAAAAGCCACAAGAAAAAAUCAUUGAACCUUUGGUCAAUAAUAAAGAACAAUACAAAGAGGAAAAGAAACUAGAAAUCAAUAAUAAAAAAGAACGCCAAUUCAACAUAAACCGAGAAAAACAAACGAUUAGUAACGCCUCUACGCCUAGUCCCAAACAAAAUGAACGCAUUAUUAUAGGCCAUGAAAAAGCUACCACACAAGCGGAAAGACGUGCUGAAAUCUCAGCCGCCUUAGCGAAAAAAUAUGAAGGCAAAUCCAGAGAGGAACUUAUGCUUAUAGCCAAUGGCAUGGAAAAUGAAGCUUUAAUACAAAGACAACGUGUCAAAGAACUUGAAGAUUAUUUAGACAAUUUACUAUUAAGAGUUAUGGAAACACAUCCCAAAAUCUUACAAAAUCCUUACUCACGAACAACUUCUGCUAAGAGUUUUAAAAAUUACAUCAAUAUGAACGAUUUUUUGUAAGAAUGCUAAAAAAAUAAAGUAAGAAAAACAAACGAUGCACGUUAAAAAAAAUCAAAAAACCUACAUACAACCUACCUUGUACUACUACUACUACUAUGCAUGAACUCUAGGAAUUUAUGAACAUCACUGAAAAAAAGGCACCAACGGUUGAGAAUCAUUGUUACACUUCUGCUAAAACCAAUUAAACCAUCAUCACAAGUGAAAGAAAGAUGUUUUGAAUUCAUCACCAUAUUGCCUUUGAAGUGCAAAACUAAAGUGCUUUUAUUGUAUUUUGUUGAAAUCUAUGAUAUUUUUUUUAUAAAUUAAAUUUUUUCAAUUAAUUAACUAAACUACUACUAUUUUAAAUAAAUAACUAUAACAUAAUUACUAUUUAAUAAGCAACUAAUAUAACAGUUUUUUAUAAAAUAAACAAUGAAGGCAAUAUUACUAUUGUGACAAAAAACUAUUGUAACAAAAUUCUAUUUGCUAAUAAUUUUAAAAAUUUCUGAUUAUUACAAAAGUAUUGUUUCUUUUACUAAAUGUUAAAACUUUAAAGCUUCACUAUUUAUCUAUCACUUAACUUUCUUUAUCUUUAUAUAAAUAUGAUAAAAAAACAUCAACAAAAUUUCUUAAUUUUUAAGUUAUAGUUUAAUGUUAAUAAUAAUAAGAAUAGUAAAACAUUUAUAUUUAUUUUGUAAAACGCCCAAGAUACUAACAAGAGUUUCUGUUAAAAGCGUAACCUUAAAAAAACUUGAGAAUUAUUUUUUAGUUUUUAAAUACAACAGAAUUUGUGUUAAAUCUGGUUUUAUUAUUUCUUUUCUUAAAAAAAUUUCAUAAAAAACCCUAAAAACCAAUUAUUUCUUUUAUUAUUGAUUCUCUUUGUAUUAUUGUUAUAUUGUUUUUACUGAUUAUUAACUCUGUCUAUAUCUAAAUUUAUUAAAUAUUAUAA